rnacentral:rRNA from 1 species
GAUAAGCUGGGAAACUGGGUCUAAUACCGGAUAGGACCAUGCUUUAGUGUGUGUGGUGGAAAGUUUUUCGGUGUAGGAUGAGCCCGCGGCCUAUCAGCUUGUUGGUGGGGUAAUGGCCUACCAAGGCGGCGACGGGUAGCCGGACUGAGAGGUUGGUCGGCCACAUUGGGACUGAGAUACGGCCCAG